GUGACCGGGAGUCAGUGCUGGGGGAAGCUCUCUCACUCUCCUCGCUCUCACUCUCUCUCUCUCUCACUCGCUCGCCGUGUGAAGCUGGCACUACGAGAAGGAGGAUGGUGAUGCUCCUCGACCUUGCGCGGUUCGUCGUCGCCACACUCCUUCGUCGGUCGCUUUAGGGCGUUUUUUGCGUGCGUUUUGCGUGUGGUGUGAGUGCCUCGGAAAUCUGGAAAAGGGAAAAGAGUGAAGGGAAAUACGGAAUUAAACUCUGACAGCCAUUUGCGUUGUUUAUGGAAAUUCGAUUCUGUUGGAAUCUGGCAAAUUGAGGGAAAAUUGUUCAAAAGAGCAGGUGUGAACUUAUUACAAGUGUUGUGUGGAUUUACAUACAUACUAGUGGAAAAGGACUCAUUAUUUACAGACUUUUAAAUAACACUUCAGCCCGAAUCACAGACCAAAGUGAAUUUUUUCCUCAGUGAGUUGUUACAUUUCUAUUAUUCUGCUCUAGAACAGUGAGGGAAGAGAGAAAAGGGAAAGAGAGAGAAAAGUGAAAAUAUAAAAAAGAGAAAAAGUCUCAAGCUAUUUAUUUCUACAUACAAUAGUGACCAAAAAGAAUCCAGUAGUGCUUAACCUAACCUAUCACCUUGACACGCCUAAGGAAUUAUACAUAUAAAGAUCCGAGUGAGGCUGUUCGCGUAAGCAUGUCGACAGCAGAGCGACGGGAAGCGCAGGACCUACACCCGUGACGUCAUAAGCUUUACGCGAACGCUCACGUUUGUCCCACUUGGUCGAAAGAGUAUGUGAACGAACCUCCGAGAAUGUGGUGACGACCUGUGCUCUAGAUUAGGUUUCUACACGCGAUUGCAAGAACGAGCACAGAUAUAGACUCCCCCCCAGUGGAGGUUCAGAGGGCACAACCCCCCCUUCCGCCUGGCCACACACAGGGGAGCUUCACCUGAACUCUCCCCUACGACCCUCGCAAACUCUACGCACGCCGCUACCCAGCCGUCGCCGACACCGCCUUGGUUGCUGCAUAAUUGUGUCCAGUUCUUCCAACAUUUAAAAAAAAAAAAGAGAACAAUAAAACAAAACAAAAGACAACUACAACGAAGAGAUCCUGCCUUUUCCUCCCUUCCUUUCCUUCUCUCCUUCGGUCUUACUGGUAAUUGGCAACUUUUAUCUCCCUUUCCUUCCGCACCUCUUCUCCCGCUCCUUCUUGCCUCGAUUUUUAUCUCUUCUUCCCCUUUUUCUCCCAAGAUCAGCUGUUCUCUCGUAGAAGCACAGUAAUUACGGUCCCUCCCCCCCGCCCCCUUUUUGUGUCUACGUCUCUUAUA